GUUUCGAUGGCUGAAGCUGUUAAGACCAGCUUCUUGAUCCAUUGCAAAAUCUGAUGAAAGCUGGAGAAACUCUCUUCUGAAAAUACAUAGGCCCACUAUUGACCAACAGCGCCCAGGAGGUCAACGGUGCUCUGACAGCCGGCAGCAGUGGACCCUAGGAAAGAGUCCUAGAGGUUUCUGACAUACAGACAGACAACUUCGCAUCAACAGUGUGGUGAAGUAUUUGAUGAGAGGCAGUUGGUGGUGAUGCCAGAAGGCAAAUAAGAUUGCACUUGAUGAGCACUAAAGAUCUUUUUGGAAAUUUGUGACACAACCU